rnacentral:rRNA from 1 species
UACGUAGGGUGCGAGCGUUGUCCGGAAUUACUGGGCGUAAAGAGCUCGUAGGUGGUUUGUCGCGUUGUUCGUGAAAACCGGGGGCUUAACCCUCGGCGUGCGGGCGAUACGGGCAGACUGGAGUACUGCAGGGGAGACUGGAAUUCCUGGUGUAGCGGUGGAAUGCGCAGAUAUCAGGAGGAACACCGGUGGCGAAGGCGGGUCUCUGGGCAGUAACUGACGCUGAGGAGCGAAAGUGUGGGGAGCGAACAGG